rnacentral:rRNA from 1 species
GGGUUGUGAGGUUAAGCGACUAAGCGUACACGGUGGAUGCCCUGGCAGUCAGAGGCGAUGAAGGACGUGCUAAUCUGCGAAAAGCGUCGGUAAGGUGAUAUGAACCGUUAUAACCGGCGAUGUCCGAAUGGGGAAACCCAGUGUGAUUCGUCACACUAUCGUUAACUGAAUACAUAGGUUAACGAGGCGAACCGGGGGAACUGAAACAUCUAAGUACCCCGAGGAAAAGAAAUCAACCGAGAUUCCCCCAGUAGCGGCGAGCGAACGGGGAGCAGCCCAGAGUCUGAAUCAGCUUGUGUGUUAGUGGAACGGUCUGGAAAGUCCGACGGUACAGGGUGAUAGUCCCGUACACCAAAAUGCACAGGCUGUGAACUCGAAGAGUAGGGCGGGACACGUGGUAUCCUGUCUGAAUAUGGGGGGACCAUCCUCCAAGGCUAAAUACUCCUGACUGACCGAUAGUGAACCAGUACCGUGAGGGAAAGGCGAAAAGAACCCCGGCGAGGGGAGUGAAAAAGAACCUGAAACCGUGUACGUACAAGCAGUGGGAGCACCUUCGGGUGUGACUGCGUACCUUUUGUAUAAUGGGUCAGCGACUUAUAUUCUGUAGCAAGGUUAACCGUAUAGGGGAGCCGCAGGGAAACCGAGUCUUAACUGGGCGUUAAGUUGCAGGGUAUAGACCCGAAACCCGGUGAUCUAGCCAUGGGCAGGUUGAAGGUUGGGUAACACUAACUGGAGGACCGAACCGACUAAUGUUGAAAAAUUAGCGGAUGACUUGUGGCUGGGGGUGAAAGGCCAAUCAAACCGGGAGAUAGCUGGUUCUCCCCGAAAGCUAUUUAGGUAGCGCCUCGUGAACUCAUCUUCGGGGGUAGAGCACUGUUUCGGCUAGGGGGUCAUCCCGACUUACCAACCCGAUGCAAACUACGAAUACCGAAGAAUGUUAUCACGGGAGACACACGGCGGGUGCUAACGUCCGUCGUGAAGAGGGAAACAACCCAGACCGCCAGCUAAGGUCCCAAAGUCAUGGUUAAGUGGGAAACGAUGUGGGAAGGCACAGACAGCCAGGAUGUUGGCUUAGAAGCAGCCAUCAUUUAAAGAAAGCGUAAUAGCUCACUGGUCGAGUCGGCCUGCGCGGAAGAUGUAACGGGGCUAAACCAUGCACCGAAGCUGCGGCAGCGACACUAUGUGUUGUUGGGUAGGGGAGCGUUCUGUAAGCCUGCGAAGGUGUGCUGUGAGGCAUGCUGGAGGUAUCAGAAGUGCGAAUGCUGACAUAAGUAACGAUAAAGCGGGUGAAAAGCCCGCUCGCCGGAAGACCAAGGGUUCCUGUCCAACGUUAAUCGGGGCAGGGUGAGUCGACCCCUAAGGCGAGGCCGAAAGGCGUAGUCGAUGGGAAACAGGUUAAUAUUCCUGUACUUGGUGUUACUGCGAAGGGGGGACGGAGAAGGCUAUGUUAGCCGGGCGACGGUUGUCCCGGUUUAAGCAUGUAGGCUGGUUGUCCAGGCAAAUCCGGAUAAUCAAGGCUGAGGUGUGAUGACGAGGCACUACGGUGCUGAAGUAACAAAUGCCCUGCUUCCAGGAAAAGCCUCUAAGCAUCAGGUAACAUCAAAUCGUACCCCAAACCGACACAGGUGGUCAGGUAGAGAAUACCAAGGCGCUUGAGAGAACUCGGGUGAAGGAACUAGGCAAAAUGGUGCCGUAACUUCGGGAGAAGGCACGCUGGUGUGUAGGUGAAGUCCCUGCGGAUGGAGCUGAGACCAGUCGAAGAUACCAGCUGGCUGCAACUGUUUAUUAAAAACACAGCACUGUGCAAACACGAAAGUGGACGUAUACGGUGUGACGCCUGCCCGGUGCCGGAAGGUUAAUUGAUGGGGUUAUCCGUAAGGAGAAGCUCUUGAUCGAAGCCCCGGUAAACGGCGGCCGUAACUAUAACGGUCCUAAGGUAGCGAAAUUCCUUGUCGGGUAAGUUCCGACCUGCACGAAUGGCGUAAUGAUGGCCAGGCUGUCUCCACCCGAGACUCAGUGAAAUUGAACUCGCUGUGAAGAUGCAGUGUACCCGCGGCAAGACGGAAAGACCCCGUGAACCUUUACUAUAGCUUGACACUGAACAUUGAGCCUUGAUGUGUAGGAUAGGUGGGAGGCUUUGAAGCGUGGACGCCAGUCUGCGUGGAGCCAACCUUGAAAUACCACCCUUUAAUGUUUGAUGUUCUAACGUUGGCCCCUUACCGGGGUUGCGGACAGUGUCUGGUGGGUAGUUUGACUGGGGCGGUCUCCUCCCAAAGCGUAACGGAGGAGCACGAAGGUUAGCUAAUCCUGGUCGGACAUCAGGAGGUUAGUGCAAUGGCAUAAGCUAGCUUGACUGCGAGCGUGACGGCGCGAGCAGGUGCGAAAGCAGGUCAUAGUGAUCCGGUGGUUCUGAAUGGAAGGGCCAUCGCUCAACGGAUAAAAGGUACUCCGGGGAUAACAGGCUGAUACCGCCCAAGAGUUCAUAUCGACGGCGGUGUUUGGCACCUCGAUGUCGGCUCAUCACAUCCUGGGGCUGAAGUAGGUCCCAAGGGUAUGGCUGUUCGCCAUUUAAAGUGGUACGCGAGCUGGGUUUAGAACGUCGUGAGACAGUUCGGUCCCUAUCUGCCGUGGGCGCUGGAGAAUUGAGGGGGGCUGCUCCUAGUACGAGAGGACCGGAGUGGACGCAUCACUGGUGUUCGGGUUGUCAUGCCAAUGGCACUGCCCGGUAGCUAAAUGCGGAAGAGAUAAGUGCUGAAAGCAUCUAAGCACGAAACUUGCCCCGAGAUGAGUUCUCCCUGAGACUUUAAGUCUCCUGAAGGAACGUUAAAGACGAUGACGUUGAUAGGCCGGGUGUGUAAGCGCAGCGAUGCGUUGAGCUAACCGGUACUAAUGAACCGUGAGGCUUAACCUUACAACGCCGAAG